AACAAACGCUGGCGGCGUGCCUAAUACAUGCAAGUCGAACGGGGAAAGCUUUCGGGUGAGUACUAGUGGCGCACGGGUGAGGAACGCGUGGAUAAUCUGCCUUAGAGUGGGGGAUAACUAGUCGAAAGAUUAGCUAAUACCGCAUAAGACCACAGGAGCUGCGGCUCAAGGGGUCAAAGGUUUUUCGCAUCUAAGAUGAGUCCGCGUAAGAUUAGCUAGUUGGUGAGGUAACGGCUCACCAAGGCGACGAUCUUUAACUGGUCUGAGAGGAUGAUCAGUCACACUGGAACUGAGACACGGUCCAGACUCAUACGGGAGGCAGCAGUAGGGAAUAUUGCACAAUGGAGGAAACUCUGAUGCAGCGACGCCGCGUGAGUGAUGAAGGCCUUCGGGUCGUAAAGCUCUGUCGCAGGGGAAUAACACAAUGAAGGUACCCUGUAAGAAAGGAUCGGCUAACUUCGUGCCAGCCGCCGCGGUAAAAC
rnacentral:rRNA from 1 species